GAUGAACGCUGGCGGCGUGCCUAAUACAUGCAAGUCGAGCGAACAGAUGAGGAGCUUGCUCCUCUGACGUUAGCGGCGGACGGGUGAGUAACACGUGGAUAACCUACCUAUAAGACUGGGAUAACUUCGGGAAACCGGAGCUAAUACCGGAUAAUAUAUUGAACCGCAUGGUUCAAUAGUGAAAGACGGUUUUGCUGUCACUUAUAGAUGGAUCCGCGCCGCAUUAGCUAGUUGGUAAGGUAACGGCUUACCAAGGCGACGAUGCGUAGCCGACCUGAGAGGGUGAUCGGCCACACUGGAACUGAGACACGGUCCAGACUCCUACGGGAGGCAGCAGUAGGGAAUCUUCUGCAAUGGGCGAAAGCUUGACGGAGCAACGCCGCGUGAGUGAUGAAGGUCUUCGGAUCGUAAAACUCUGUUAUUAGGGAAGAACAAAUGUGUAAGUAACUAUGCACGUCUUGACGGUACCUAAUCAGAAAGCCACGGCUAACUACGUG
rnacentral:rRNA from 1 species